GAUGAACGCUGGCGGCGUGCCUAAUACAUGCAAGUCGAGCGAACAGACGAGGAGCUUGCUCCUCUGACGUUAGCGGCGGACGGGUGAGUAACACGUGGAUAACCUACCUAUAAGACUGGGAUAACUUCGGGAAACCGGAGCUAAUACCGGAUAAUAUAUUGAACCGCAUGGUUCAAUAGUGAAAGACGGAUUUGCUGUAACUUAAGGAGGUAUCCCCGCGGCAUUGGCUGGUUGGUAAGGUAACGGCUUACCAAGGCAACGAUGCGUAGCCGACCUGAGAGGGGGAUCGGCCACAUUGGAACUGAGACACGGUCCAGACUCCUACGGGAGGCAGCAGUAGGGAAUCUUCCGCAAUGGGCGAAAGCCUGACGGAGCAACGCCGCGUGAGUGAUGAAGUUCUUCGGAUCUUAAAACUCUGUUAUUAGGGAAGAACAAAUGGGUAAGUAACUAUGCACGUCUUGACGGUACCUAAUCAGAAAGCCACGGCUAACUACGUG
rnacentral:rRNA from 1 species